GAGUUUGAUCCUGGCUCAGGAUGAACGCUGACAGAAUGCUUAACACAUGCAAGUCGACUGGAAUUCUUCUUCGGAAGAUAGUACGGUGGCGGACGGGUGAGUAACGCGUAAAGAAUUUGCCCUUCAGACUGGGACAACUAACCGAAAGGUUAGCUAAUACCGGAUAUUAUGAGACCUUGGCAUCAAGGACUUAUGAAAGCUAUAUGCGCUGGAGGAGAACUUUGCGUCCCAUUAGGUAGUUGGUAGGGUAAUGGCCUACCAAGCCGACGAUGGGUAGCCGGCCUGAGAGGGUGAACGGCCACAAGGGGACUGAGACACGGCCCUUACUCCUACGGGAGGCAGCAGUGGGGAAUAUUGGACAAUGGACCAAAAGUCUGAUCCAGCAAUUCUGUGUGCACGAUGAAGGUCUUCGGAUUGUAAAGUGCUUUCAGGUGGGAAGAAGAAAGUGACGGUACCACCAGAAGAAGCGACGGCUAAAUACGUGCCAGCAGCCGCGGUAAUACGUAUGUCGCAAGCGUUAUCCGGAAUUAUUGGGCGUAAAGCGAGUCUAGGCGGCUUGUUAAGUCAGAUGUGAAAAUGCGGGGCUCAACUCCGUAUUGCGUUUGAAACUGGCAGGCUAGAGUACUGGAGAGGUGGGCGGAACUACAAGUGUAGAGGUGAAAUUCGUAGAUAUUUGUAGGAAUGCCGAUAGUGAAGACAGCUCACUGGACAGAUACUGACGCUAAAGCUCGAAAGCGUGGGGAGCGAACAGGAUUAGAUACCCUGGUAGUCCACGCCGUAAACGAUGUUCACUGGGUGUAGGGGGUCGAACCUCUGUGCCGAAGCUAACGCGAUAAGUGAACCGCCUGGGGAGUACGCACGCAAGUGUGAAACUCAAAGGAAUGACGG
rnacentral:rRNA from 1 species